rnacentral:rRNA from 1 species
GACGAACGCUGGCGGCGUGCUUAACACAUGCAAGUCGAACGGAAAGGCCCUGCUUUUGUGGGGUGCUCGAGUGGCGAACGGGUGAGUAACACGUGAGUAACCUGCCCUUGACUUUGGGAUAACUUCAGGAAACUGGGGCUAAUACCGGAUAGGAGCUCCUGCUGCAUGGUGGGGGUUGGAAAGUUUCGGCGGUUGGGGAUGGACUCGCGGCUUAUCAGCUUGUUGGUGGGGUAGUGGCUUACCAAGGCUUUGACGGGUAGCCGGCCUGAGAGGGUGACCGGCAACAUGGGGACUGGGAUACGGCCCAGACUCCUACGGGAGGCAGCAGUGGGGAUUAUUGCACAAGGGGCGGAGGCCUGAUGCAGCAACGCCGCGUGCGGGAUGACGGCCUUCGGGUUGUAAACCGCUUUCGCCUGUGACGAGGCGUGGGUGACGGUAAUGGGUAAAGAAGCACCGGCUAACUACGU